GUAUAAAAUUUUCAUAUUUAUUUUUAAAAUUUAGUGAAGACUUAAAAACUGGUGGUCAUAAUUCUUUUCUCUGUAGACCCAGUAAGAUUACUGAAGAUUUCUGUGGAGUAUAGUGACACACAGAAUCUAAAUCCAGGGGUUACAGGUAUGACUCUUUGUGUCUUGUGAUAGGUAAUUUGACAGCCAUUUUCUUCAUGCGGCAGGUGUGGACAGCCAGCGACCUCCACGGAAAUCAUGAAGAUGUCCUUUCUGUUCCUCACUGCCUUCUGCCACAGCCCCUGGUCGGCAAGUGACCAAUUAAAAGGACCAGCCUGUCAUUCAGGAACAAUUGACAGAGGUCUAAGAUGUGUGAGAGAGAAGACAAAGGAGGCAGAGAGAGAGAGAGAGACAGGUGCUGGCCAGACUUGGUGACAAACAGGCCUGACACAGUGAAGACGAAGGACUGCAGGGUCCCAGCCUGGGAUUGCGAUGGGCUGGAGGAAGGUGCUGCUAGCAUUCAUGCUUUCUGCUGGCCCGCUCUUGGCUCUCCUGUGGAAUUCAGUCCUCUGCUUCCAGGACAAGCCCAGCCUGCACUUGGGGAUCCUUGGGUGACCGUUCAACCGUCACCCUGUGACAGCCGAUUAGUGAUGACUACGCUCUGCCCUUCUGCCUCCACAGAGUGUGCCAUGACCAGAAGAGAGUCUUUUCAACAAGGGCGCUUCACAAAGCCUCAACCACCAAGAAGGGUAAGGAAAGCGGUGCGGUUCAUGAGUCACCUCUUC
rnacentral:lncRNA from 1 species